rnacentral:rRNA from 1 species
AGCGGCGGACGGGUGAGUAACGCGUGGGUAACCUGCCUCAUACACAUGGAUAACAUACCGAAAGGUAUGCUAAUACAAGAUGAUAUAAGAAAUUCGCAUGGAUUUCUUAUCAAAGCUACGGCGGUAUGAGAUGGACCCGCGUCUGAUUAGCUAGUUGGUAAGGUAACGGCUUACCAAGGCGACGAUCAGUAGCCGACCUGAGAGGGUGAUUGGCCACAUUGGAACUGAGACACGGUCCAAACUCCUACGGGAGGCAGCAGUGGGGAAUAUUGCACAAUGGGCGAAAGCCUGAUGCAGCAACGCCGCGUGAGCGAUGAAGGCCUUCGGGUCGUAAAGCUCUGUCCUCAAGGAAGAUAAUGACGGUACUUGAGGAGGAGGCCCCGGCUAACUACGUGCCAGCAGCCGCGGUAAUACGUAGGGGGCUAGCGUUAUCCGGAUUUACUGGGCGUAAAGGGUGCGUAGGUGGUUUCUUAAGUCAGGAGUGAAAGGCUACGGCUCAACCGUAGUAAGCUCUUGAAACUGGGAAACUUGAGUGCAGGAGAGGAAAGUGGAAUUCCUAGUGUAGCGGUGAAAUGCGUAGAUAUUAGGAGGAACACCAGUAGCGAAGGCGGCUUUCUGGGCUGUAACUGACACUGAGGCACGAAAGCGUGGGGAGCAAACAGGAUUAGAUACCCUGGUAGUCCACGCCGUAAACGAUGAGUACUAGGUGU